CAAUAGCGUAUAUUAAAGUUGUUGCAGUUAAAAAGCUCGUAGUUGGAUUUCGGGGCAGCCUGGCUGGUCCGCCGCAAGGCGAGUACUGGUCAGCCGCCCUUCCUCUCGAAAGCCCCGACUGCUCUUUACUGCAGUGGUCGGGUAGUUCGGGACGUUUACUUUGAAAAAAUUAGAGUGUUCAAGGCAGGCCGUCGCCUGAAUACAUUAGCAUGGAAUAAUGGAAGAGGACCUCGGUCCUAUUUUGUUGGUUUCCAGGGCCGAAGUAAUGAUUAAGAGGGACAGUUGGGGGCAUUCGUAUUUAAUUGUCAGAGGUGAAAUUCUCGGAUUUAUGAAAGACGGACAACUGCGAAAGCAUUUGCCAAGGAUGUUUNCAUUA
rnacentral:rRNA from 1 species